rnacentral:rRNA from 1 species
GUGGGGAAUUUUGGACAAUGGGCGAAAGCCUGAUCCAGCCAUGCCGCGUGCAGGAUGAAGGCCUUCGGGUUGUAAACUGCUUUUGUACGGAACGAAAAGCCUCUUUCUAAUAAAGAGGGGUCAUGACGGUACCGUAAGAAUAAGCACCGGCUAACUACGUGCCAGCAGCCGCGGUAAUACGUAGGGUGCAAGCGUUAAUCGGAAUUACUGGGCGUAAAGCGUGCGCAGGCGGUUUUGUAAGACAGAGGUGAAAUCCCCGGGCUCAACCUGGGAACUGCCUUUGUGACUGCAAGGCUGGAGUGCGGCAGAGGGGGAUGGAAUUCCGCGUGUAGCAGUGAAAUGCGUAGAUAUGCGGAGGAACACCGAUGGCGAAGGCAAUCCCCUGGGCCUGCACUGACGCUCAUGCACGAAAGCGUGGGGAGCAAACAGG